UUUGUUAAAGUGUUCAGCACAUAAAAAUUUGAUUUUUAAAGAGAUGGAAAUAUCUAACAAUU
rnacentral:tRNA from 1 species